GGAGAGAUGGCCGAGUGGCUUAAGGCGCCCGCUUGGAAAGCGUGUGUACCGCAAGGUACCGUGGGUUCGACCCCCACUCUCUCCG
rnacentral:tRNA from 1 species